rnacentral:rRNA from 1 species
UACGUAGGGUGCAAGCGUUGUCCGGAAUUAUUGGGCGUAAAGAGCUCGUAGGCGGUCUGUCGCGUCUGCUGUGAAAACUCGGGGCUUAACCCCGGGCCUGCAGUGGGUACGGGCAGACUAGAGUGCGGUAGGGGAGACUGGAAUUCCUGGUGUAGCGGUGGAAUGCGCAGAUAUCAGGAGGAACACCAAUAGCGAAGGCAGCUCGCUGGGACGGUACUGACGCUGAGGUGCGAAAGCGUGGGGAGCAAACAGG